CCAGAGAGCUCUUUCAGCUCCACCCAUCACCGGAUCGUAUUACUUCCACAGGCAUGGCGGCCAAGAAUUCAGGAUGGAAAGGAUAAGAAUCGGAUGAAAUGAAAAAUAAUCCCUGUUGAUUCCAGGCCAUUUCAUUUUCCAGUUUCUUGCAUUGACUUGGGGACUCCCGAGUUUGACGACAGACUACUAGCGGUUUAGGGCCGGUCCAGUACUAGGUCCAGCCUGGCAUAGAAAGACACAACUUCGUGCUUCUGUACUGCAGGAUGUGUAAUUUGAAAUAAUCAGGGGAAUCUCAGCAGAGGAGGCUGUGUGGCGGAUCAUGGGGAGGUUUUUGCAGCUCCAUCGCUAAAGAUGAACUGGGCGGAUGGAUUUUUGUACUCUGUACAGUAAAGUAAAACACCUAAACCAAGAAUUCAUGGGAUGAAGAUGUGGCUCAGGUGGCAGAGCAGGUUGUCCAUUAGUCCACUAAUCAUAGGGUUGGUGGUUCGAUUCCUGGCCCACACGACUCCACAUGCCGAAGUGUCCUUGGGCAAGACACUCAACCUCAAGUUGCUCCCAAUGGCAGGCUAACACCUUGCAUGACAGCUCUGCCAUCAUUGGUGUGUGAAUGUGUGUGUGAAUGGGUGAAUGAGACACAGUGUAAAGUUCUUUGAAUACCGCUAAGCUUAAAAAGGCGCUAUAUAAGUCAGACCAUUUACCAUAUUCAUUUUGUUUAGACCUACUACAUUUAAGUUCAUACUCCUCAUUUAAGUAUAAAAACUUCACAUAUAUUCUGAAGUCAUUAUAUGUACUUUAUAAGAUUACUCAAUUCAGUGAAUUAAUUUAGUUAUUACUCAAUUUAGAGAUUACUUCUUUAAAACAAUGUGCAUUGAAAAAUUGCCUUUCAUGCAUAUGUAUAUGGGCCUAAUUGCUGUUUAUAAAAAAACACUUUUGUUUGUGAAAUGUUGUUGAUAAAUGUUCUUCAUGACUUCAAGUGAGUUCUUGUCCAUUUAUUAUAAUGAGAUUUAAAAAUGUAUUAUUUAUGUAUUAUAAACAAUAAUUAAAACGCAAGAUAACUUUUAGCCCGAAUAUGUAACGAACCCCGCCCCUUCGGUUCGCCCCGAUCUCACGAACGUGCACGCUCGUUCUGAGCCCGCGAGCGUUCACGCUCGUUUUGAUUCCUCGAGCUCUCCCGCUCGCACACAAUCUCUCCCCGCGGGCUCACAUGCCCGCUCCCAAUCGCCAGAACAUUAUGACCACCUGCACUGUCUCAAUCACCCCUUUAUUCGUUUCACCUGCACUCGUCUCAUCACCUUUCAUUGUUUACACCUGCACCUUCCCCUAUAAAUACCACAGCACAUCCGUUUCACGGGUGUUGGUUAUUGUGUUUAGUUUCCCGUAUCCUUGCCCCCCGCUAGUCUCGUCUAGUUUUGUACUCCUCUGGUUUACCCCUUAGCUUGCCAGCUCCCCUUGUUCCCCUGUCUUUGAUCCCGCUUGUCCCCUCUAGUCCUACACCCUAGUUGUUAACUGUUUUCCCGGCUUCGACCUCCCGCUCUCGUUGACCACUCUCUCCCGGAUUUGCCCCUUUACACUACAUUGAUUCCCCGGCUUUUGACCCUACGCUUCCCUGACCAUUCUCAUUUGGAUUUGCCCUUGUUUGUACUUUUGCCUGCUUUGCUUUGUGAAUAAAGCAGUUUCCC